GUCAAAUUUGACCAAUCACCUUGUAGCAUUUGUUAUGUUCACUUGUGCAAAAAUACUAAUAUCAAAUCCAGAUGAUCUUGAUACGCGGAAAAGUACUGGCACUAGUUGUCAAAUAGAAAUCCAUGUUAUGAUUAAAACAACUGAAUAUCUCCUGUAAUAUACUUUAUUUCGAUUCCAUAUUUUUGUCAGAGCUAUAGUUCUCAUAAGCAAACAUAAUUGCAAAAUUUCAACUAGUUUCAUAAAGAAUAACGAAAGAUAUAAUUGACUGAAUACAUCAAAAUGGAUUUCUAUUCGGACAACCCUUUCUGAGCGCUGAUUGGCUAAAAUACGAACACGAGAUUACCUGGAUAUUUACCUGAAAUAAUAACAGUGUUUUAAUAGGAAUAAAUUUAUAUGAAAAUCUCAACUAAAAAUGUCUUGCUCAUGCUCUACUUUAAAUUUCAA